UGACCCUCCUCUCUCACCAUGAUCCUGCUGCAUGCUGCUCAUCGUCCUGGCAAUCAUAUCCGAAGGUGGCCCUGGCAACAGAGCCCUGAGAACCCUUGAUGAGGCGCUUGUUGCCCCUCUUCCCUCCUGGUCCACGUGGCAAACGCCUGCUUCAGAGUGUGUUCAAUGGGAUGGACCUCGUCAUACAGAAACUCCUCCGCCAGCCCGUCCCCACCGUCAAUCUCCAUCUGUAUGCAUGCACGCAUACACACACACGCACAGAAGGAGAGAGAAAGUACAAAAAUGGCAGGAGAAAGAGAGAACACUGUUGAAAAACAAGAUUAGUAUACAUGCAGUCACUUAACUGGGAUAUUAUAAUGUAAAAUAAAGAGUAAGGGUAAGAUGGAGAGCGUGUAAUUGCUGAACAUUUUUGGCGAUCUCUAGACACUAGUCUCUCUCCACCUCAUUCAGUGGCGGUUCUUAGGCUGGAGUACAACAUCCGCUUUUUAAUGCUACAGCUGUACCCUGGCAUGGAAUAGAUGAACACAGAGAGAGAGACAGAAAGAGAGAAAGAUGAUGAGAGAUUCUACAACCUUUCAGUUGUGUGAUGUUUGGUGUGUGUGAUGCGUGACAUAGAGUCUCCUGUUGCCGGCCCUGGUGGGAGUGUUUGAAGAUGAGGAAGUGGUAUCUGGGCGUGUUCAUAGGGAUCCUGUAGGGAAGCUCACGGGUCUCUGUGGGCUAAGUGUGGACCAGCUAGAUCUACUCUUUCUCUGUUUCCGCACACAAUCACAAUACUGAUCAGGCUGAGUCAGUUGAGACUCCUCAGAGUGAAUUUCAGAAAAUAAAAAUGGUGAAACAUUU